GUUUUAUCAUUCGUCGUCUGCUUCGUUCUCGCAUGGCUGUCUCCGAAGCGUGCUGGUUGUUCGUAAUCUCCGAAUGACGAAUGUCUUUUCAAUUCUAAACUACCUGACUGAAAGAAGUUUGAAUCUUUUGUUGGAUUGGUGGAGUACAUGUGGUGAAUCCAGAACAGAAAAUGAAGAUUGCCUUGAUGGGGAUUCACACCAUUUAUAGAUUCCCUGAUUGAAAGAAGUUUCGAAUAUUUGUGUUGGAGUUGUGGAGUACCUGUGGUGAUUCCAGAACAGAAAAUGGAAAAUGAGAUUGCCUUAAUCACCAUACAAACCCCAUGUCACUGACAAUGUCUAUUUUUUUAGCAAAAUUUCUUAAUACUUGUUAUGUUGACUCUUUUAUUUAUUAAGUAUUUGAACUAGAGAGGAAGAGGAAAACUGCCAUGCAUGAUAGUCUUACUUUAAAUUUCAUUCUCUUGGUGGGGGGAAGGACAACCUAUUUUCGGAUUUUAUUCUUUUACAUCAUUUACGUGAGUUUUUGUAAGAACUGCAAUCUUUCUGUAUACCGAAUUUUAAUCAAUCAUAAUCGAAAGACUCGGGGGAAGGAGGUGAUAAAGCGGAUGGAUGCUUUAAAAUUAGUUCGGUUUUAAUCUUAGAGAAUGAAAAUAAAUAAAAUUGUAA